AAGCGGUGGAGUAUGUGGUUUAAUUCGAUGCAACGCGAAGAACCUUACCUGGUCUUGACAUCCCGGAGACCCUUAGGAAACUAGGGGGUGGCUUCCAUCUGGAAGAAUCUGGAGACAGGUGCUGCAUGGCUGUCGUCAGCUCGUGUCGUGAGAUGUUGGGUUAAGUCCCGCAACGAGCGCAACCCUUGCCUUUAGUUGCCAGCAGUUCGGCUGGGCACUCUAAAGGGACUGCCGGUGUUAAACCGGAGGAAGGUGGGGAUGACGUCAAGUCCUCAUGGCCUUUAUGACCAGGGCUACACACGUACUACAAUGGCCGAUACAAAGGGCAGCGACACUGCGAGGUGAAGCCAAUCCCGUAAAAUCGGUCUCAGUCCGGAUUGGAGUCUGCAACUCGACUCCAUGAAGUUGGAAUCGCUAGUAAUCGUGGAUCAGCAUGCCACGGUGAAUACGUUCCCGGGCCUU
rnacentral:rRNA from 1 species